rnacentral:rRNA from 1 species
CAGCAGCCGCGGGAAUACGAAGGGGGCUAGCGUUGUUCGGAAUUACUGGGCGUAAAGCGCACGUAGGCGGACAUUUAAGUCAGGGGUGAAAUCCCGGGGCUCAACCCCGGAACUGCCUUUGAUACUGGGUGUCUAGAGUAUGGAAGAGGUGAGUGGAAUUCCGAGUGUAGAGGUGAAAUUCGUAGAUAUUCGGAGGAACACCAGUGGCGAAGGCGGCUCACUGGUCCAUUACUGACGCUGAGGUGCGAAAGCGUGGGGAGCAAACAGGAUUAGAUACCCGUGUAGUCCCUGUCUCUUAUAC